rnacentral:tRNA from 1 species
AUUAGUUUGGCAGAAAAUUAUGUCUUAAAUUUAGAAUUUAAUAAUAUAUCUUUGGAUAUAUCUAAUA